rnacentral:miRNA from 1 species
AAGAACAUCAAAUUAGAAUGU